rnacentral:misc_RNA from 1 species
GAUGAAGAACGCAGCGAAAUGCGAUACGUAAUGUGAAUUGCAGAAUUCAGUGAAUCAUCGAAUCUUUGAACGCAUAUUGCGCUCUCUGGUAUUCCGGAGAGCAUGCUUGUUUGAGUAUCAGUAAACACCUCAACUCCCUUUUCUUUUUUGAAAUGGGAGCUGGACUUGAGUGAUCCCAACACUUUUCUCACUGGAAAGUGGCGGGUCACUUGAAAUGCAGGUGCAGCUGGACUUUUCUCUGAGCUAUAAGCAUAUCUAUUUAGUCUGCCUAAAAAACAGAUUAUUACCUUUGCUGCAGCUAACAUAAAGGAGAUGAGUUCUUGUGCUGACUGAUGCAGGAUUCACAGAGACAGCUUCGCGGCUGACUUUGUAAACUCGAUCUCAAAUCAAGUAAGACUACCCGCUGAACUUAAGCAUAUCAAUAAGCGGAGGA